GAUGAACGCCAGCUACAGGCUUAACACAUGCAAGUCGAGGGGCAGCAUGAACAAAGCUUGCUUUGUUUGAUGGCGACCGGCGCACGGGUGCGUAACACGUAUCCAAUCUGCCCGCGGCUCGGGGAUAGCCCAUCGAAAGAUGGAUUAAUACCCGAUGGCGUGGUUUCUCCGCAUGGAGUUUCCACUAAAGGUUUUCCGGCCGCGGAUGAGGUUGCGUAUGAUUAGGUAGUAGGCGGGGUAACGGCCCACCUAGCCUUCGGUCAUUAGGGGUUCUGAGAGGAAGGUCCCCCACACGUGAACUGAGACACGGUCCAGGCUCCUACGGGAGGCAGCAGUGAGGAAUAUUGGUCAAUGGGCGAGGGCCUGAACCAGCCAAGUAGCGUGAAGGAAGACUGCCCUAUGGGUUGUAAACUUCUUUUGUUCGGGAAUAAAGUGCAGUACGCGUACUGUUUUGUAUGUACCGUUCGAAUAAGCAUCGGCUAAUUCCGUGCCAGCCGCCGCAGUAAAAC
rnacentral:rRNA from 1 species